rnacentral:rRNA from 1 species
GAUAACGCUGGCGGCGUGCCUAACACAUGCAAGUCGAACGUCCUCUCUCGCAAGAGAGAGGGAGUGGCGGACGGGUGAGUAACACAUGGGUCACCUACCUAGUGAGGAAUACGGCGAGAAUCGCCGACAAGACCGCAUAGGCUCUCUCUUUUGUCAAGAGAGAGCAAAGCUUCGCAAGAGGCGCUUGAGGAUGGGCCUGUGGCCG